rnacentral:lncRNA from 1 species
AUAAUAAUGUGUUUGAGCUCACAAAACUUCCUAAGAGACAGAACCAGGCACACUCCAGCAGACUUGCUUCUCAUUACCACUUCUAGGUUAAAAGUGGAGUGCAUCAAAGACUAGGAUAGCUGAUGCACAAUGUUGAAUAUUUACUCAGUAUCUUUUGUUUAAUGUGAUGCUUCUGGGUGGAUGUAGGUGGAUGGGAAUUGUUAAGAGCACCAAUGAUAAACAUCAUUAUAGAAUUUACUAUUUAAAUCUACCUGCAUGCCUUAACAUUUGUGAUGCGAAGUUUUUGUUUUUGAAAUAAGAUAGUAGUGUAAUAAAUGAUUUAUAAUCUCAUGAAGGAUGGAAAUUAUAUCUUACAAUUCUCUGUAUGUUCCAUCAUAUACAAUCCAAUAGCAUAAAUAUGUGACACAUUUGGAAAAUAAUUGAUGACUGAAACAUUUAUGUAUGGCAAAGGGGCGGGUAACUGUAAAGUCAAAUGCAGAAACUACUGACAUACAAUCUUUAGAC